UACGGGGGGGGCAAGCGUUGUUCGGAAUUACUGGGCGUAAAGGGCGCGUAGGCGGUUUGCUAAGUUGAAUGUGAAAACUCUGGGCUUAACCCAGAGCCUGCAUUCAAUACUGGCAGGCUAGAGUUCUGGAGGGGAUAGCGGAAUUCCUGGUGUAGCGGUGAAAUGCGUAGAUAUCAGGAGGAACACCGGUGGCGAAGGCGGCCUUCUGGACCGAUCUGGACGCUGAGACGCGAAAGCGUGGGGAGCAAACAGG
rnacentral:rRNA from 1 species